rnacentral:rRNA from 1 species
UGGGGAAUUUUGGACAAUGGGCGCAAGCCUGAUCCAGCAAUGCCGCGUGCAGGAUGAAGGCCUUCGGGUUGUAGACUGCUUUUGUACGGAACGGAAAGGCUCUGGUUAAUACCUGGGGCUCACGACGGUACCGUAAGAAUAAGCACCGGCUAACUACGUGCCAGCAGCCGCGGUAAUACGUAGGGUGCAAGCGUUAAUCGGAAUUACUGGGCGUAAAGCAUGCGCAGGCGGUUAUGUAAGACAGAUGUGAAAUCCCCGGGCUCAACCUGGGACCUGCAUUUGUGACUGCAUAGCUAGAGUACGGCGGAGGGGGAUGGAAUUCCGCGUGUAGCAGUGAAAUGCGUAGAGAUGCGGAGGAACACCAGUGGCGAAGGCGGCGAUCUGGGUCGAUACUGACGCUGAGGUGCGAAAGCGUGGGGAGCAAACA